UCGAUGUCGGCUCUUCCUAUAAUUGUGAAGCGGAAUUCACCAAUUGUUGGAUUGUUCACCCACCAAUAGGGAACGUGAGCUGGGUUUAGACUGUCGUGAGACAGGUU
rnacentral:ncRNA from 1 species